GUUGAAAGGGAAGGAUCUCAAGCUUUGUCGGACUUCAGGAAAGACACCUUGCACUCAACAGGAAUGCAGCAAGUCCUGAACAUUCCGCUGGAAUUGGAGGGAUAAGGAGGAAUGAACAUGAAGCGGAGCGACCCCAUAUGGGCAGGACCACCACGGUAUCCUGGUAUCAAGGAACAAACAGGAAAAACUCCUGAUGAGAAAUAAGCCAGACAACAGGAUACAAAGGGGGAAAGACAGCAUGCUGUAUGCAAUAUCUGAACCACAGAGGGAAUCAUAAAUAGAACUUAAAUGUUUUUCUUUUGAUGGCAUCUUCUGGAGACAUUUGGAAAGAGUCAAGAUACGAAUCACAUGUGCCUGCUCGUCACCCAGCUUCUGAUAAUUUAAUGAAGUUGUCAUGGGGAGCCUGCUUGUGAGUCAAUCUGAGACUUACACCUCAGGGGAACAGAGCACUGGAAUGCCGACAGACUGAUAGCUGCGCUCUUAUAAAAGAGUGUAC
rnacentral:lncRNA from 1 species